rnacentral:rRNA from 1 species
AAUGAACGUUGGCGGCGUGGAUUAGGCAUGCAAGUCGAGCGAGAACCGGUUUCGGCCGGGGACAGCGGCGAACGGCGUAGUAAUGCAUCGGAACGUACCCUCUGGUCGGGGAUAGCUACGGGAAACUGUAGGUAAUACCCGAUGAUCUCUGCGGAGCAAAGGUGAGAUUCCGCCGGAGGAGCGGCUGAUGUGAUAUUAGCUAGUUGGUGGGGUAAUGGCCUACCAAGGCGAUGAUGUCUAGGGGGUGUGAGAGCAUGGCCCCCACGACCGGAACUGAGAUACUGUCCGGACACCUACGGGUGGCUGCAGUCGAGAAUCUUCCGCAAUGGACGAAAGUCUGACGGAGCGACGCCGCGUGCGGGAUGAAGGCCCUUGGGUUGUAAACCGCUGUCAGAGGGGAUGAAAUCUUCGGAGGUACUCCUCCGAAGUUGACAGAGCCUCAAAGGAAGCACGGGCUAAUUACGUGCCAGCCGCCGCUGUAAGAC